UAAUGAUUUUAUUUAUUUUAACAUUUUAAAAUGUUUUCCUUUGGGGAAUUCUAAUUUAUAUAUCAAUAUUCAGGUAAUAUUUGCUGAAAACACAAACAGAGUCAAAAUGAUCUGCAUUCACAUUCUCAUUUUCUAUUAUAACAUAGAGACAACUACUUUAUUAUCUUUUUAGAAACUUUUGCAACUACUUUAGUUUCUUCCUAAUUUUAUAAAUUAAUCUAUCUCAAAAAACUUUGCCCAAAAGACUUAGUAAUAGCUGUCAACUUCAGAAAAACUAAAACUUUAAAGAUAACUUUUAGAAGGAAAAUGAAAUACAGAAAUAAUGUAUCUUAUUUACACUUAAUUAAAAAUAAUAUGAAUUGUCACUAUUUCCUAUGAAAACAUCUCAUGCCAAAUUUCUUUUAUUAAGCUAGGAUUUAAAAGAUAAUUUAGUUGAAACUGGUAGAAUCUUAGUAAAAUUAUAACAAUAAGAAAUUUUUAUAUUAUAUAUAAUAUAGAAUAAUCACAUUUAAUUCCACUUGUUAGUCUAUUCUGAUUCUUUAGCAAGUUGAUUCAUAAUUUGCCAACUUGGGUCAGAAAUAUUUUCUAUUCUUAGCUUUUGCUGUCAGCAGAGAUAAUAAUAAUAUAGAACCUGAACAACAAAGGAUUGUGUAUUGUUUCAAUUUAAUUAAAGUUGAUUCCCUGCUUUAAGAGAGACUCACAUUUUAUAUAUUUUUUUAUUAAAAAGAGAAUGUAGAUAUUUGCUUUUCCAAAUUUCCCAUAAGAUAAAGAAAACAUAUUUUUUCUUAAUUACACCCUUGCUAAGUCACGCUAGCUGCCUGACCUUGGACAAAAUUCUUAACCUCUUUGUGUCUCAUUUUCAAUAACUGUGAAUUAAAGAUGAUUAUUGUAGUAUAUUUCUCAAGGGAUUGUUGUGGGAAUUAAAUAAAAUAAUCCUCUAAAAUGCUUAGUACAGAUUCUGGAACAUAAUAAGCAGAAAAAAUUAAUAACUUAUUAUUUUUAUUUACUAUAUUAUAUGACAUACUUUUUCUUUAUGAUCUUCAGGGGAAUUUCUACUCAUCUUAAAAACAUAUAUAGAUAUUGAUCUGCGGAGAAAUAUAUCUCUGUUAUUUCAAGGUCUGUGGAUUACAUAAUGGUCAACUCUGAUUGAUUUACUGAUUGAUUCAAAAAAUUUUAAAGCAAAACUAAAAAUAUUGCAGCUAUGUUGGUUUUAACCAUUCUAAACUCUGAUGAAAUUUGCUUUCUGUUUGGUUUGUGACUAGGAAGCUAAACAUUAUUUAUUAGUAAUGAAAAUUUCUGGUGUCUAAAAAAAUUCAAGAGGAAAACCAUUAGAUUCUAUUACAAUUAAAUCUGUUAAGAUUUAAUUGCAAAUAUGUAGAUAGUGCAAAUAUGUCUUAGGGUACAAUUUUUGUUCUCAUUAAGUUACCCAUUUUACAUUUUGAGAACACUAACAGAUGAAAUACUUGUCAAAGAGAAGAUCUAAGAUGGUUUAAAGAAAAUAUUAAAUGAAAUCAAACUUACUUGUCAAGCUCCAUAGCACAACUUACAAGUCAUAAAUCGCACUCUGUAUGACAGCUACGGGAGGGAUCUGGGUAGUAAAACAAAAUGAUGGAUUUUAUCUUUCCUGUUUUUGAGUUAUUAAGAACUAGUUGAACUAUAGAAUGACGUGAAAGACUCACAUCAGGGAUGGGAGGUUAUUUGCAGAAACUCUUAUUUUCUUUAUCACAUUAAUGUCAAUAUUUGACAUUUCCAUACGACUAAUUAUUGAACUAAUUUUUGAUUUCUUAUGCCAACUGUUAAUAAUCCUCUUUUCAUCCAGAAAACAAUCACUUUUUGUCUAUCUGUAAAUUGACAUUUGUUAUGUUAAUUUGUUUUUGCUUAUUACAAGGAUUAUCUUUUAUUUACAACAAAGCAUUCACAGAUUGCCGUGACAGAUUUGUCUUCAAUCAAAUCUCAUAAACAUUAAUUGAAUUAUUGAAAGGAAUUUGUAAAUUAUUGUGUUUUUUCUAAAAUAGUAACAUCAGCGUGUAUAUUACGUUAAUUUUGUUUACAGUUUUUUGCUUCACAUUAACUAUAUUUAACUGAUUUUAACAGCCUUAGAUAACUCCAAAACAUCAAUUACUUUACUUGGAUUUAUUAAUUCAUUCAAAAAAUAUAUAUAUAAUGAGAAUCUAUUAUUUGCCAGGCACUGGGCUAGGCAAAGGUAAGAGUGAAUGGCAAAAUCAUGUUCUCCCUGUUUUCCUGUAAUAUAUUGUCUGGCUAAAGGCUGUGAAGGAAGAGUAAUGUGAAGGAAGAGUAUUCGAAGGAUAUAAGAAAAGGGAUCACACAAUUAACUGUAUGUAGGCUGUUCUUAGGGAAGAUUUCUUCUAGAGGUGGUACUUGGCCUUCAGUCAGAAGCAUGAUUUGAUAUUUGAUGUUAACCAGGUAAUUGAGGGGAUAAGGUGCUUUCUCAGCAGAAAAGACAUAGUAGGCAAAGUCUUUAAGUUAAAAGCAUAGUGAAAGCUCAAAACUAAAAGGAGGCUUGGGUGUCUGGACUCCAGAGACAGGAAGAGAGUUUAUAGAGUCUAGCAGAGAUAGCAGAGAAGACUUUAUCUUUUUUUUUUCUUUUUUUUUUUUUCUGUAGCAAACAUCUUUCCUGUGAAAAAUUCCCUCUCCUAGUACUUUAGUUCUGUGGAUCCAAAAUUUAUAGCAUUCUUCUACCACCACAGGGGCUCAUAUGACAUUAACAGACAAGACACUUUUCAGAAAGACAGGGAACUGUGGAAGUAAACCAGGGGUGACAUGGAUUAUCAAAUAUUGUGGAUCAGGUGAGCUCUAGGCUUCUCAAUGCAAGGUUGUUCUUUUGGGCCACAUCUAAGAAAUCUUUGUCUAGCCAAAAGCCACAAAUAAUUUCUCAUUUUUUGGCUUCUGGAAGAUGUACAGUUAAAUGUUAUAUUUGGGACUGUUAUCUAAUUUGGUUAAAUUGCACUCUACAAUAUGGUAUUUGAAUUGAUGAAAAAUUAGUAAAUGUUAAUAUUUUUUAAAGUAGCCAAAUCUUGCAAUUUAUAUAUAAUAGAGAAGACUAGAAAAUCCCCCAUAUUUAUUUCCUCUUACUUCGUACUACUAAAAUUUGUAUUUAGGCAUUUGGUUUCUCAGAUAAACAUUACAUUCCCCAGUAUAUGGUUCUAUCUGGCUUGGUGACGACAUGUUGAACAUUAAGAUGUGAGCAGAAGUAAUACAUACACACUCUUUUUCAUGUCUUUAAUUGAAUGGGAUAUUGGCCCAUUUUUUCUUCCAGUUUAUUACACUGAAUAUUGACAUGUUAUUUUCCAAUAUUGAGACAAUCAAUGACAAGACUUUAAGAGUAACAAUGUAAAAAUACAGAAGUUGUCUGAGUUUAUCAACAAUCCCCUGGAUUAGAACCCCCUACCAGUUCUAGGUCAUCUAAUAUAUAGACAUUGUGUUCAGUAGAAAUAAAUAUAUAUAUUUUUUAUUAUGCUUUAAGUUCUAGGAUACAUGUGCACAACAUGCAGUUUUGUUACAUUGGUAUACACGUGCCAUGUUGGUUUGCUGCACCCAUUAACUCAUCAUUUACAUUAGGUAUUUCUCCUAAUGCUAUCCCUCCCCCUGCCCCCACCCCCGACAGGCCCUGGGGUGUGAUUUUCCCCACCCUGUGUCCAAGUGUUCUCAUUGCUCAAUUCCCACCUAUGGGAAUACAUUUUUAAAUCAUUUUUAAAGGUGUUAUUACAUUCUGAUUGAACAUUUUCAGAAAGAAUAAAUAAUUUAAUACAAGAAGUGGGCCACUUCAUGUAACAAAACAAACCACCACUACAGCAACAACAACAAAAAACACUAAUGAAUGUGACUUUAGCUUUGCAACAUCGUGACAGACUAGCAAGUUAAUGACAUUUGUUAUGCCAUAGAAAAUAUUUGUUGAAUUGCCACUCUAAUGACUUUAUAUCAGCCAACUCAUUAUCAACACUAGAAAAGAUGAUUAAAAAAUACUUCAGUACGUUCACGUGUUGGCUUGUUAACAUUUUUAAGAGUCUAUAAGAGAAAAAUGCAUCCAAUCUUGACAAAAAUAUUUUUCAAGUAUCUUGUAGGUACGUACAACUAACUACCUUGUGAACAAAAGUCACUAUAUAAUUAUAUAAUUUCUGACACUUAAAAAAGUUUAUUGUGCUAAAGAAGAUAUAUGUUCUAAUACCAAAUCCACAUAUAAAAUAAUUGACUUAAAUAAUUUAAGAUGCUCUUUUAUAUAUUUAUAUUAAAAACUUUACAGAGAAUAAAAAAAGCAUUAUACAGGCUACUUAUGGUUUUUGAUGUUUGGAUCUACAAUACAUGUAUCAAAGAUUGUGGAAAUAAAUCAAACAAUAUAUUCAAUUGGACUUAAUUGCAUUAUUACAUGCCAAGUGUCGUAUACCAUCUAUUUGCACAUAACACUUUUUAAUUUAGGUAAAAUUAUUAUCAUAAAGCUACAUGAAUUUAUUUUAUUCCAUGUUAUUAUUUAUGUAUUGUUAGGAACAUUUGCUUAAAAAUCAUAUUUGGACAUAGUUAGUAUCAGAUACUUUACAUCCUUUGAAUCAGUUAUUUUAUAACAGUAUAUACUAAACAUCAUUACUCCUUUUCAAACAUAAAUAACGCAAUACAAAUUGGACAAAAAAUUCAGGAAAGAUCUGGGAUCAAAAAGGAGGUAUUGAAACAUCACAUGUACUCCAUAAUUAUAUACAAAUAUUUUGUACCCAUAAUAUUUAAAAUACAGAAAAUUAAAAGGUGCAUUUUCCUCAAAGUGCAUGCUUCUUUUGCUAUGCAAAACUGCAAGAUAUGGAAAGAAGUGUAUUAAAACACUAAAUCACUUUAUGUGGAAGAUAAAAGGGAUGGUACCCAAUGUAAGACUUCAUGUAGUGCACUGAUACAUUCAAUACAAAUGAUGUAUUAACUUCAAGAUAACAUGAGAAAGUUAAAUUAUCUAACUUAUUUCAAACUAGGGGAUAGUAUGUUCUCAUUAUUAGAAGCCAGAAUUCUGCUUAUCCAUUUCUAUUAUUAGAAAAAAACAUAAUUUUUAUUCUUGUCUUAAAAAUAGACACCAUGAUAUCAUUCUCUGUAAAUGCAGCAUGAUAGUCUGUUUACAGAGUUUAUAUCAUUCCAAGACUGCACUUCUAAAGUGAGAAAAUAUUAAAGGAUAUAAACUCACUCCUCUCUACAAAAUUCCUUAUUUUUUAUGCAAUGGCUUUAAAAUGUAUGGAAGGGGAGUUAUGGAAACAAUCCAUACCUGGAAAGCAUUCUAUCCAUGCCUUUGAAAUGGUUAUCUAGUACUAGAUUCUUAUCAGUGCCUAGCUAUGUAAUGUGUGUAGCUUAAGAUUUUUAAGAAAGAAGGAUAAAAUGCUCAAUAUAAAUUUAAAAAGCACUUUUAUUGGAAUAUUGAAUCAUAUAUUUGCUUUCUGUAAGUCCUUUUAUCUAUAAAAUAAUAGUUGAGAAAGGCAAAUAGAAUAUGUGGAGGAAUUAAAAAUUCAGUUGUAGGGUGGUAAAUGAAAACCAAAUUUUUCAUUCACCACAUUAAAUGUAAAUGGGUAUUAUACUCAAUUUAAGCAGCAAAGUUGCUUUUUUUUUUUUUUUUUUUUUUG
rnacentral:lncRNA from 1 species